CCAUGUUAUUAGUUAUAUCUUGUUGGUUUAGCAAAUUUUGCUUUCUUUAUCCAAUAAGGAACGGGAAAGCGUCAACAAUUACAAACAUUCUGGAAGAACAGAUAUUCCUGAUGUUCGGCACUCCUAACGUCAUUGUGUGUGAUAAUGGGAAACAAUUUGUAUCCAAUCAAUUUAAAGAAUUAAUAUCAGAAUAUGGUGUGAAGCUAUGGCAUACCCCCUUCUACCAUCCUCAAGCAAACCCUACGGAGCGCGUGAACAAAGUAAUUGGGGUGGCGAUAGCUUCUUAUGUUGAGAAUGACCACAGGGAAUGGGACAAAUAUAUACCACAUAUUGGACAUGCCCUCAGAACAUCUGUUCACGAAGUAACAGGGAAGACACCGUCUUAUUUGUUCUUUGGACGUGAAACAUCAAUCCACGGCAAGAAAGCCUAUAGUUUUGAACCAAAUAGCACUAUUACUUUUGAUAAAGAAAAAUUUGAAAGAAACCUAGCUUUUAGAAGUAAAAUUUACGAAGAUGUUUACGAGAAAAUUCGACAAUCACAUGAAUUCAAUAGCAGAAGAUAUAAUGAAAGACGCCGUACUUGUGAAUAUAAAGUGGGUGACAGUGUGGAAACGUACAAAAGUCUUGUCUAAUGCUGACAAGACUUUCAUGUCUAAGUUAGCGCCUAAGUUCGAAAAAGCAAUAGUAGUUGAAAGAAUAUCGAGUGAUGUUUACAAAUUAAAUAGUCUCAAAGGCAAGGACUUAGGUAAAUGGAAUUCCUGUGAUCUUAAACGUUUGGUUUGAAUCCGGUUGGAUUCUUUAGAGGAGGGGGGAUAUGUAAUGAAUUAAUUUUUAUCGGGCACCAUAGAUGGCGUUACUAGGCACGUUUCAAUAAUAGAUUAACUCGCAUUUGUAUUUGAACGAACUGACAGCAAAAAAUAAAAAUAAAUGUGGGGUAGAAGAAGUUUCGCUGGUGGAAAGAAAGGAAGGAUUGACGUGACACGGAGGAGUUGAGUAGUGUCCGUUAUUAUUAAGUUAUUUUAAGUGAGAUUGCGAGAGAGUGUCGCGAAGUAAUAAUCACGUGUGAGAUAUUGAGACAUAGUACGGAGUGUGUGUAAAUACUGUUUCGGCCACGGGCCUGCGGAAACGCCCUUGAUAAAUCGACGAUACCGAAAUCGUGCUUACGGACGUCUGCGCCAGUCGUGGGCUUCCGGUGAGGAGUCAAGGGACUGGAAGGUCGCAGAACUACCUCAAGCCAGUUCCCAAAUUUCCUGACCUCGUGCGGCAUCGUCGCCAGAGACUAGUGGGCCAAGUAAUUGCGAGCAAGUAGCGGCGGACUGAGAUUUGAGCCAGUCCCUGACAUUACACGGCGAGCUGGACUUAGGCCUUUCAUUGUGGGGUCAUUGUUUUGUCAUGAGUGCUCAUGUCAGUUUUUUGUCGCAUGACUAGAUUAAGUGAUUCCACUUGUUAAUAGAUUAAGUUACCUUGAUUAAAAUAUGUUUAGCAAA